rnacentral:tRNA from 1 species
GGGAAGUUGGCUCAGUGGUAGAGCGCUUGUCUUGAAUGCAUGAGGCCUUGGGUUUGAUUACUCA